rnacentral:lncRNA from 10 species
CUGAGAUACUAUAUUUUUGAUGCAUUUCUGCCUUCUUUCCUUAAUAUGUAUUGAUGUGUGUCAAAUACCAGCUCCAGGAGGGCAGAGGUAUCCACCCAUUGGCUCAGGGCUGUAGCCUCAGGUCUAAAAGAGGACCUGGCAUGUAGUAGAUGCUCAACAAAAAUUACUGCACUGAAGAUGCUUGGACGUGUGCCGUUCCCAGUACCAGGCACUUCCCUAAACACUGUACACACAACUAUUUAAUCCUCACUGUCCAACUGUAGAGUAGGUUGUCACCAACCCUAUUUACAGUGAGGAAACAGGUCUUAGAGAAGUUAAGCGGUUAUCCUGGGCUGCACAGCUGGCACGUGGUGGAGCUGGGGCUUAGGCCAGAAGCCAACUGCAGCCUCUGAGGAAGCGGGUUUAUGAGACCCACUCUCAGCCAAGCAUAGUGGCUCACCCACGCCUGUAGUCCCAGCACUUCAGGAGGCCCAAGUGGGCGGAUCAUUUGAGGUCAGGAGUUUCAGACCAGUCUAGGCAACAUAGCAAGAACCCCUCUCUACAAAAAAUGAAAAAAAUUACUGUGGCAUGAUAAUGCAAGCCUGCAGUCCCAACUGAUCUGGAGGCUGAGGCAGGAGGAUCCCUUGUGUGAGAGUUUGAGGCACUGCACUCCAGCCUGUAACAAGACCCUGUGAGAAAACAGGCCCAGGAAGGGAAGGAGUUGCCUGGGGACCAUCUGGUCCCCGCGUGGGUUAUAAGGCGCUGCAACCCUGGCCCGC